CAACCUGCCUUUAACAGGGGAAUAACCCGUUGAAAAACGGACUAAUACUCCAUAACACAGGGGGUCCCGCAUGGGAAUAUUUGUUAAAAGAUUUAUCGGUUGAAGAUGGGCAUGCGUUCCAUUAGCUUGUGGUGAGGUAACGGCUCACCAAGGCUACGAUGGAUAGGGGAACUGAGAGGUUUAUCCCCCACACUGGAACUGAGACACGGUCCAGACUCCUACGGGAGGCAGCAGUGAGGAAUAUUGGUCAAUGGAGGCAACUCUGAACCAGCCAAGUCGCGUAGAAGGAUGAAGGUCUUAUGGAUUGUAAACUUCUUUUGCAAGGGAAUAAAGUGGGGGACGUGUCCUCCUUUCGCAUGUACCUUGCGAAUAAGGAUCGGCUAACUCCGUGCCAGCCGCGGC
rnacentral:rRNA from 1 species